rnacentral:pre_miRNA from 1 species
AAUAGGAGAAUAACAAAUUAAAUUUUUCUUCUUGAUUUUAAUCAUUUUCCUUUUAAAAAAAUUCAAAUCCAACUAAAAAUAUUAAAAAUCAGGUGGAAAAAUAUGAUUUAUUAUCCUUCUAUU